GCUAAUGUGGCUCAGCAGGUAGAGCAGCUCACUCGUAAUGAGCAGGUCGCCCGUUCGAAUCGGGUCAUUAGCUCCA
rnacentral:tRNA from 1 species